GGGCGCUUGGUCUAGGGGUAUGAUUUUCGCUUCGCAUUAAAAAACCUUGCGUACUUGUGAAAGGUCGUGGGUUCAAUUCCCACAGCGUCCA